GGAUGUGAGGGCGAUCUGGCUGCGACAUCUGUCACCCCAUUGAUCGCUAGGAUUGAUUCGGCUGAUCUGGCUGGCUAGGCGGGUGUCCCCUUCCUCCCUCACCGCUCCAUGUGCAUCGCUCUCGAAGCUGCGUGCUUGGUCCAAGAGGACGACCUUCCCGUAAUACAGGAGGACCGGUCUUCAGUCAAGGGUAUACCAGUAGCUGCGCUUCCCUGCUAGAAACUCCAAACAAGCUCUCAAGGAAUCACCAUAUCUGCCUUGUGUGUGUGUGUGUGUGUGUGUGUGUGUGUGUGUGUGUGUCCUGUGCACGUGCUUCUGGAGACAAGUAUUACUACGUAGUCUAGCUCUCACU
rnacentral:snRNA from 1 species